UAUGUGAUCGUCUCUCGCAUAUCAAUAAGCGGAGGAAAAGAAACUAACAAGGAUUCCCCUAGUAACGGCGAGUGAGGCGGGAAGAGCUCAAAUUUGAAAUCUUAAAGGGUUUCCCUUUACGAAUUGUAGUUUAAAGAAGUGUUUUCUGUUGAGGUUUUGGUAAAAGUUCUUUGGAAUAGGACAUCAUAGAGGGUGAGAAUCCCGUAUUUGACCUUUACUUUCAACUUUGUGAUACACUUUCAAAGAGUCGGAUUGUUUGGGAAUGCAGUCCAAAAUGGGUGGUAAAUUUCAUCUAAAGCUAAAUAUUGGCGAGAGACCGAUAGCGAACAAGUACCGUGAGGGAAAGAUGAAAAGAACUUUGAAAAGAGAGUUAAACAGUACGUGAAAUUGUCAAAAGGGAAGCGUUUGACACCAGUGUUGUUUUUCUGAAAAUCAAUUAAAGAACUGUUUAUGCUAAGCUGUUUAGACUUUAUCAGCUAACUGUUUAGUUUUGAGCUUUUCUUUAAUGCACUUUUCAGUUAACAAGUCAACAUCAAUUUCUUUUGCUGUAAAAAAGCUUGAGGAAGGUGGCUUGAGAUUCGUCUUAAGUGUUUAUAGCCUCUUGCCUAUGCAGUCGGAGAGAUUGAGGUCUGCAGCGUAGAUCCUUCGGGGCUAAAUGCAUUUGUGCUAAGUUAUAGCAUUUUAUAGACAACUUGUUGACUAUGAUUUGUCUUGUAGCUUACUCGCUUAUGUUAUUUUACCUACGCUUAGGAUGUUGACUGAUAUGUAGUCGU
rnacentral:rRNA from 1 species